GGCCAAUACCUUACCAUCGAAAGUUGAUAGGGCAGAAAUUUUGAAUGAACCGUCGCCGGCGCAAGGCCAUGCGAUCCGUAAAGUUAUCAUGAAUCACCAAGAAGCCCCGAAGGGCAUUGGUUUUUUAUCUAAUAAAUACACCCCUCCCGAAGUUGGGGUUUUCAGCAUGUAUUAGCUCUAGAAUUACCACGGUUAUCCAAGUAGUAAGGUACUAUCAAAUAAACGAUAACUGAUUUAAUGAGCCAUUCGCAGUUUCACGGUAUAAUUGCUUAUACUUAGACAUGCAUGGCUUAAUCU
rnacentral:rRNA from 1 species